CCUCGGGGGGCAGCAGUGGGGAAUAUUGCACAAUGGGGGAAACCCUGAUGCAGCGACGCCGCGUGAGCGAUGAAGUAUUUCGGUAUGGAAAGCUCUAUCAGCAGGGAAGAAAAUGACGGUACCUGACUAAGAAGCCCCGGCUAACUACGUGCCAGCAGCCGCGGUAAUACGUAGGGGGCAAGCGUUAUCCGGAUUUACUGGGUGUAAAGGGAGCGUAGACGGCGGUGCAAGCCAGAUGUGAAAGCCCGGGGCUCAACCCCGGGACUGCAUUUGGAACUGGGCUGCUAGAGGGUCGGAGAGGCAGGCAGAAUUCCUAGUGUAGCGGUGAAAUGCGUAGAUAUUAGGAGGAACACCAGUGGCGAAGGCGGCCUGCUGGACGAUGACUGACGUUGAGGCGCGAAAGCGUGGGGAGCAAACAGGAUUAGAUACCCUAGUAGUC
rnacentral:rRNA from 1 species